rnacentral:rRNA from 1 species
AUUGAACGCUGGCGGCAGGCCUAACACAUGCAAGUCGAGCGGAGCGGCGGACGGGUGAGUAAUGCCUAGGAAUCUGCCUCGUGUUGGGGGAUAACGUCCGGAAACGGGCGCUAAUACCGCAAACUAUCAGAAGAGCCUAGGUCGGAUUAGCUAGUUGGUGGGUGAAAGGCCUACCAAGGCGACGAUCCGUAACUGGUCUGAGAGGCAGAUCAGUCACACUGGAACUGAGACACGGGCCAGACUCCUACGGGAGGCAGCAGGUGGGAAUAUUGGACAAUGGGGGAAAGCCUGAUCCAGCCAUGCCGCGUGAGUGAAGAAGGUCUGCUGAUUGUAAAGCACUGUAAGUUGGGAGGCGUUACCAACAGAAUAAGCACCGGCUAACUUCGUGCCAGCAGCCGCGGUAAUUC